CCUACGGGGGGCAGCAGUGGGGAAUAUUGGGCAAUGGGCGCAAGCCUGACCCAGCAACGCCGCGUGAAGGAAGAAGGCUUUCGGGUUGUAAACUUCUUUUCUCAGGGACGAGGCAAGUAACGGUACCUGAGAAAUAAGCCACGGCUAACUAGGUGCCGGCAGCCGCGGUAAUACGGAGGUGGCAAGCGUUAUCCGGAUUUACUGGGUGUAAAGGGCGUGUAGGCGGGACUGCAAGUCAGAUGUGAAAACCACGGGCUCAACCUGGGGCCUGCAUUUGAAACUGUAGUUCUUGAGUACUGGAGAGGCAGACGGAAUUCCUAGUGUAGCGGUGAAAUGCGUAGAUAUUAGGAGGAACACCAGUGGCGAAGGCGGUCUGCUGGACAGCAACUGACGCUGAGGCGCGAAAGCGUGGGGAGCAAACAGGAUUAGAUACCCGUGUAGUC
rnacentral:rRNA from 1 species